ensembl:rRNA 5S_rRNA 5S ribosomal RNA
GACAUUUGGUAGAGACUGUGAGACCACCAGGUCCCAACAGACCCCAGAGAACAGCCACAUUUGCUGGUGCUGAAACAAGGUCAUUAAGGGUGAAGCCUGGUGCCAGAUGUGU